GAUGAACGCUGGCGGCGUGCCUAAUACGUGCAAGUCGAGCGAACGGACGAGGAGCUUGCUCCUUUGACGUUAGCGGCGGACGGGUGAGUAACACGUGGAUAACCUACCUAUAAGACUGGGAUAACUUCGGGAAACCGGAGCUAAUACCGGAUAAUAUAUUGAACCGCAUGGUUCAAUAGUGAAAGACGGUUUUGCUGUCACUUAUAGAUGGAUCCGCGCCGCAUUAGCUAGUUGGUAAGGUAACGGCUUACCAAGGCAACGAUGCGUAGCCGACCUGAGAGGGUGAUCGGCCACACUGGAACUGAGACACGGUCCAGACUCCUACGGGAGGCAGCAGUAGGGAAUCUUCCGCAAUGGGCGAAAGCCUGACGGAGCAACGCCGCGUGAGUGAUGAAGGUCUUCGGAUCGUAAAACUCUGUUAUUAGGGAAGAACAAAUGUGUAAGUAACUAUGCACGUCUUGACGGUACCUAAUCAGAAAGCCACGGCUAACUACGUG
rnacentral:rRNA from 1 species